rnacentral:rRNA from 1 species
UACGAAGGGGGGCUAGCGUUGCUCGGAAUCACUGGGCGUAAAGGGUGCGUAGGCGGGUCUUUUAAGUCAGGGGUGAAAUCCUGGAGCUCAACUCCAGAACUGCCUUUGAUACUGGAAGAUCUUGAGUUCGGGAGAGGUGAGUGGAACUGCGAGUGUAGAGGUGAAAUUCGGUAGAUAUUCGCAAGAACACCAGUGGCGAAGGCGGCUCA